UAUAAUCAUAAAAAGCCAAUUUUUCAGGAAUUUUAGACCAAGCUUCAGCUAAACUUUGAUUUUCAGCUAAUCCCGCACCAAUUCUUCGAUAUAUUUCUUGCUGGAAAUAUCCUUGAUCCCAUUGAUAACGAGUGGGACCGAAUAAUUCAAUCGGUGUAGUUGCUGAACCAUACCACAUAGUUCCAGCAACAACAAAAGCUGCAAAAAAGACAGUAUAGUUCCAGCAACAACAAAAGCUACAAAAAAGACAGCAGCGAUACUACUCGAAAGGACAGUUUCAAUAUUUCCCAUACGUAAUCCUUUGUAGAGACGUUGGGGCGGACGGACACUAAGAUGGAAUAGGCCUGCUAAUAUGCCCAAGGUUCCUGCUGCAAUAUGAUGAGAGGCUAUUCCUCCCGAAACAAAAGGAUCAAAACAUUCCACACCCCACGUUGGAUUUACAGCUUGUACCUUUCCAGUU
rnacentral:lncRNA from 1 species